rnacentral:tRNA from 1 species
GCCGAGGUAGCUCAGUCGGUAGAGCAAGGGACUGAAAAUCCCUGUGUCCCCAGUUCGAUUCUGGGCCUCGGCACCA